rnacentral:rRNA from 1 species
ACACUCCUGCGGGAGGCAGCAGUGGGGAAUCUUGCGCAAUGGGCGAAAGCCUGACGCAGCCAUGCCGCGUGAAUGAUGAAGGUCUUAGGAUUGUAAAAUUCUUUCACCGGGGACGAUAAUGACGGUACCCGGAGAAGAAGCCCCGGCUAACUUCGUGCCAGCAGCCGCGGUAAUACGAAGGGGGCUAGCGUUGCUCGGAAUUACUGGGCGUAAAGGGAGCGUAGGCGGACAUUUAAGUCAGGGGUGAAAUCCCGGGGCUCAACCUCGGAAUUGCCUUUGAUACUGGGUGUCUUGAGUAUGAGAGAGGUGUGUGGAACUCCGAGUGUAGAGGUGAAAUUCGUAGAUAUUCGGAAGAACACCAGUGGCGAAGGCGACACACUGGCUCAUUACUGACGCUGAGGCUCGAAAGCGUGGGGAGCAAACAGGAUUAGAUACCCUGGUAGUCCCAUG